GCCUACGGCCAUACUACCCUAAACACUCCAGAUCUCGUAUGAUCUCGGAAGCUAAGUAGGGUCAGGUCUGGUUAGUACUUGGAUGGGAGUCUGCGUGGGAAUACCGGGUGCCGUAGGCU